rnacentral:misc_RNA from 1 species
GCAAACUUGGUCAUUUAGAGGAAGUAAAAGUCGUAACAAGGUUUCCGUAGGUGAACCUGCGGAAGGAUCAUUACAAGGUGCUCCGCCUGGCGUAGUCGUCCUCCCGAAAAACGGGGGAAUGACUUGCUUGAGCGGCCCCUCUAUCCUUGACUAUGUACCUGGUUGCCUGGGCGCUGAGUGUUCUGUUGCCCUCCAUUUCUGGAGGGAUGAUCAGAGCCUCCGCCCGGGGGAUUUCAAUUAUACCCUUUUUAUUUUAUCUUCUGAGUCAUGAGAGAAUUAGAAAUAAAUUCAAAACUUUCAACAAUGGAUCUCUUGGUUCCGGCAUCGAUGAAGAACGCAGC